rnacentral:rRNA from 1 species
UACGGGGGGAGCAAGCGUUGUUCGGAUUUACUGGGCGUAAAGGGCGCGUAGGCGGCGUGACAAGUCACUUGUGAAAUCUCCGGGCUUAACUCGGAACGGUCAAGUGAUACUGUCGGACUAGAAUACAGAAGGGGCAACUGGAAUUCUCGGUGUAGCGGUGAAAUGCGUAGAUAUCGAGAGGAACACCUGCGGCGAAGGCGGGUUGCUGGGCUGAUACUGACGCUGAGGCGCGAAAGCGUGGGGAGCAAACAGG